GCAGGCUACCACCAUGCCAGACAUAUACAUCCCAAUUCCAUGGUGGCCUAGUAUCUGCAGCCACCACACACUCAAACUUAAAUCGAUACAUGAAAAAUGCCAAAAAGAAAAAUGCAAAAAAAAAAAAAAAGCAAAAUGACUUCUGGGGAUGUUCACAGAGAGAUGUUUGCUGGAUCCAUAGCUGCCCACCAUUUACCGAGACGUGGUUCAUCUUUCCAAGUGAGGAGGUCCCGUAGUCCACGUGUGGAGCCGCUGCCUCCUCUCCACGCUAUUCUUCACACUGGUGAUGUCCAGGUUGGAAACUGCUCUUUGGACUUCUGAUCUGAUUUCUUUGUCAUAUUCAGAUGUUUUUACUGCAGCUCCCAAGAUCUGCUCGCUCUCACUUUGCCCUGCCUUUCCCGGGAUAAGUUGGGGUGUGGCUCAGAGGAAGCCUUCACAGCUGUGUAACGAGAAAACCUCAGCCUGGGAAGACGUGAUUCCUCCGCAACACUGAACACUUUGCAGAUCCUCGUGUGAUCUCUGCAGAAACGCGUGUCUGAUACCUUUCCCCCCUAAAUCCACAGGAAUUCGGAUGAAAUUAUAACACACCGCAGACAUGAUUCUUGUGUAGACUUUUUGGCACUGCUUGUGCUGAGGAUUAAACAGGAUGAGGAGUCUAUGCUUCACAGAGAAAAUGAGUGGACGCAGUGCAAGCAGAAACCCCAAAAGGCUAAAGUAAACCUCCAUGCGACCAGAGAUUAACAUUUUACUGUGGAUUCUCCCUGCUUUUCUUAUAUAUUUGGUUGUGAGCCUAGCCUUUAACGGCUGAGCCAUCUCUCCAGCCCCUCCCUGCUUUUCUGAUGCUUUUGCGCACAUCUGGAAAUGCCGAGUAGAAAGGGAUUUGUGAGCACGGGCGGGUGCACAGAACAUAGGUCCAAGCAACAGACCAAUACUCCGUACUGCGGGGAGGGCUGUGGGGUGGGGGUCAUGACGGGGUCACAGCGGGGUCAGGGGCCCAGCAAGGUCACGGUGGCGGAGGGUCAUGGCAGGGCCAGGGCGGGGUUGGGAGCGAUAUCACCACAAGGUCACUGCUGUUAGGGGCGGGGUCAGUUAGGUGAGGGGUGGGGUUGGGAUCAGUGCAGGGCUGGGGUCACAGUAGGGGUCACAAGGAAGGGGCCAGGUCAAGACCACAGUAUAAACAAUGACACCACAGACCACAGUGGGGCGAGGUCAGGGAUAACUGUGGGUGGAGCAAUGACAGCUCAGGGGUGUGGCUGUCUCUCAAUACAGAGGCAGUGUGGCCUGCGAGGUCACAGGACACCCCAGUCCCGCUCCACACUGGCCCUGCCCACACCUGGCCCUGCCAACACCUGGUCCUGCCAACACCUGUCUCCGCCCACCAGGGCCCCGCCAAACUGUUGGGCGUGGUCUUGUCCUCCUCCGACAGCAAGAACCUCAGGACAUCUGAAGUCCACCAGCCCCAUCUUCCCGCCCUGCCAGUCACAUCUUCCCGCCCUCCAGGGACGGCUUCGCUCUACGUGAGCGGGGCCAUCAGCAGUGACAUCAUAACCCAGGCAAUGCCCACUGUGCCCAGGAACACCCCAGGAGGGUGCAGGAUCCCUAGGGAGAGACCUCAACCACAGGGGCGUAGCCUGGGUGAAGGGGGCAUGGCCACAACCCACAGGACAUAUGGGGGUUUUGGGGUAGAGGCGUGUCCUCUGUGUGAGUGACAGGGGCAUGGCUUAGGGUCGGGGGCAUGGCCCAGUGGCGUGGCCAACAUAAAACCACAUCUGCCGGAGAACCAGGACAGGAGAAGGAAACAGGACGUGCCUGUCCCCACCCCCGAGUGUGCGUGUCAGAUUCCCCCUGCAGUGGGCGUGUUCAACCCCACCGGUCGUGCCCAGCUGAAUGAGGGGCGCAAGGUCUUAUGGGCAGAGGACACUGCCCCCUGGGCCGCCCAGGAAGCGCUCAAAGCGGAAGGGCUCCUUGUGACGUAAGCAGAAUGCUGAGGACAGGGCUGUGACGUCACCACCCUGGUCAUGCCCCCUCUUGCCCAGACAACGGCCUGCAAUGAUGUUGUCCCUCCCCUAUGUAAACCCUUUGGUUUUCAGUUGAGGUGUGAAUAUGACAUUAUUGUCGCCCAGGCCCCGCCCAUCAGUCAGGCCACAUCCCUAUAUGUGACAUCAUCAUUUAGUUACACAACUUUUCAACGAUGUAAUCAGGUCAGGUUCAAACCCGCAUUGGGGUUUGGCUAUGACAUCACCAACAUCUAAGUUCCCCACACAGCCCAGGCCCCGUCCCUUCUGUCCCGACCCCGCCUCCCAAUGAUACCAUCCUUACUUAGUAAAGACCAGGGGCAUGCCUAUGAUGUCAUCGUCGCCCAGGCCACACCCACCAACCCGCCCUAUGCUGUGUUCAUGUCCUCCACAGACCCAGUCCGGUGUGCUCACAGAGCCUCCCAUCCCCUGACUCCCACAGCGACAAACAGUGGGGCCUUCCAGUAUAGCAGGCCGAGGCAAGCCUGGGGGCGGGGCUAGAGAGGCGGAGCCACAGAGGGUUUGGGCAGGGCAGGGCCAAAGUAGGACUUAGAACAAAGUCAGUGAUUAGGAUCUGCGAGCCUGACCACGCCCAUGAGGCAAAGCCACGUCCACCACCAUUCCCAGCCCUGACCCUGAGGUGUUGCUUAAUCCGCCCACACGCCAAAACCACACCCACAUAAGAAAACUCAGCUCAUUAGUCUCCACAGUCACCCACAAAUCAGUGACUAAUUCUCAGAGCCACGCCCAUCAAUGUCCCAGCCCAGCCCAUAUACCUGAGACCCCACCCACAGGCCCCAAAUCCCGCCCACUAGUCCUCUAGCUUUGCCCUGUACCUUAGAAUACACUAGCUUAUGUCCUAAGUCUCAGUCCCGUCCACCACUGUCCCAGCCACGCCCACACACCUAAUGUCCCACCUCCAUGCCUAACCACGCCCCAAAACCACAGAAAUCACUGACUAUAGCUCUGUCCUACCCAGGCCCACCACUGGCCCCAGCCCCGCCCACAAACUAAGCCACGCCCCAUGCACGACCCUGCCCCUAGGCUUCCAUGUUCUCACACCCAGAGUACAGGCUGACUAAAGACCAUUUCCCAAGCUACGCCGCCAGCCACGCCCACUCCCUUACCCCGCCUACCUCAAAGACUGCCCCGCCCCGGAUGCCGGAAUGGUAAGUAGAAGGCAGGUAAUUUUCGGCCUGCGGUUGGGGCUGGCGACGGAGGCUCUUCCCCUAUGGGCUGGACCUGGGGCGGGGUUGUAGGGGUUGGUGGUGUCAGAGAGCUUCACUCUGCAGCCCCUACCAUGCCCCCAGAAACAUCACACUGGCCCUGACCAAGACCCCCACUCUCAUUCCCGCUGCAGUACCACCCCCAGAGAUGUCAUACUCGCUGGGAACACGCCCACCCGCCCCUGCCACGCCUCCCCUGGGUCAGAAGUUUAGUAAUGGCGGUGGAAUCGGGGGUCGCGGUGUCGACCGUAGUGGGUUCACUUUGGGUCGGAAGUCUAGAAAUGGCGACGACGACCGCGGUAAUGGCUGUCUGGAGCAAUGUUGGGUGUUGUGGCUAGGACGUCUGCGUCCGGGGUUACUGUGGGUCCCUGGAUGCGCCGCAGCCCCGCCCGCAGCGUUCGUUGCGUGCCGGGAUGGCUGAGCCAGCGCAAGAAGAGCUUGUCCGCCUUCAUCUGAAAGCGCGGCCGGAGCGGAGUGGGCGACAGCUUCCGGGGCUCCAUGGCGGACCCGGAGGCGGGGUCGGCACCAGGACGAAGAGACGGACGCGGGAAACCGCGAUGGACGCUCACGAUGUUGCCACGGCUUCAAAACGCCCGCGGCGACAGUGGAGCGGGGGACUUCCGGCAAAAAGUGAUGGCGUCACCAGCGCGACCGGAGGAAUCAGGAAAAGAGGACCGAUACGGGAACAGUGGCCGAUGGGGGUGAGAUCGAGGCGCGGAGUGAAGGCGUCACCGAACGCGACUACAGCUCCUGGGACGGGAAACAGUUAAAGAUGGACGCGGAAAAUGGCCCGGCGCGGCGUGAAGACGUCACCAGGCCGCGACUGCAGCGAACAGGACCGUUACAAACGAGCUCCGCAUACACGGAGCCUAGGGUUCCCGGCGCGGCCUGAGGACGUCACCGAGGGCAACUACGGGAAUCAGAAAGGGAGUGGAGAGAUGCGGGAACAACAGCUAAGAGGACAGAUCCAGGCGCGCCGUGAUGGCGUCACGAGCACGACCGAGGGAAUCAGGAAAAGCCGCGGGGGUCACACUUAGAACCGAACGCGGUAAUGGGAGCCGUCGCUGGUUGAUGACGUCACAGGAGCGACAAGGACGCCAGGGAUCACCCACAACCCAAGAGGACCUAUCCGGACUAGGCGUGAUGGCUUCACAAGCGCGACAACGCCACUCGGCCCGGACACUGUUAAAGACGGAUGCGCUCCUGGCACUGGCGCCCCACGAUGGGACCGAGGCCGCGGCUUUCAACGCGCUAGGACUCGGUUGCUCGAUGAUGGCGUAACACCGCGGCUACACCAGGGAUCAGAAGCUCAGGUCACAGACCGAGUCACUGAGCCCCCUGUCACUGGCCCAUCGAGGCGAGUUAACACCGGCGAUAACUGGAUGGCGAGAGGCAAGCACAAGAACGUAAGCGACAGAAACCAACGCUAUUGGCAACGUCAGAGCCCAGUUUUCCGAACACUGCAAACCCUGGAUGCCCCGACGCACUGGAAAAGCAAGACUCAGAUCGACGCCCUCAUCUCAUGAGGAAGACGGAAGACUUUAAGGAGGACGUAAAUAAUCCCUUAAAGAAAUGCAGGAGGACGCAGGUAAAUAAGCAGAAGGCCUUAAAGACUUACAGGAAAACACAUUCACAUGGGCAAAGGAACCGAACAAAACCAUCCAGGAUCUAAAGCUGAAAACAGAGACAUGAAAGCAAACACAGAGGCCACCCUAAAGAUGGGAAACCUAGGCAGAGCAAGAGUCACAGAUGAAAGCAUUAGCAGAAGGAUACAAGAUGCGGAAGAAUCUCGGGUGUAGAAAAUACCCUAGAAGACAUGGACACAACAGUUGAAGAGAGCACAGAAGCAAAAGCUCUCUGGAUGCUUCAGUCCUGCACUGAGAAGGGACUAGAAAAUUUACAGAAUGGAGGGAGAGGAAGAUCUGCACAGACUUGAAACAUACGGAACUGUCUGACCUGCAACCGUCCAAUCUGACCAGAACCAUUUGUUGAAGAUCCAUUCAGUGUGGAGGAUGAAUCACUAACCUGCUCCAGGAGCAAGGUUUGAAAAAGGUCAAGAACUAUUAUGGUCCAAAGGAGAAGUUCUGCAGGACUCUGACAAGAGCAAUUUUCAUGUUCAUGAGAGCAAACCUCAUGCCAAUACAGUUCCUGGGUCCAUUACCAAAGGGCAGGUAUAUGUAAGGAUUGAUGCUGUCCUGAUUCUUCUUUCUGAACCUGGCCCCACAGGAGUAGAUGAAGUCACAAUGCUACAGGAGGUGGAGUUGCUGAGACUUGAGGGAACACAGAAGUCAUCUGGUAUGGAUUAAUGUCAAUUGACUUCCUUGGUAAAUAUCAUGGUGGCAAUUGGCAUGCCACAACCACUAAGACAUGGACUCUGGUAGCAGAAAGUACACAGGACAAAAUUCCUCAGGCUCUGGCCAGCACUUUGGGUCUUUGUGAAGAGCAAAGACCCUCUCGAGUCUUCCACCAACUGGAAAUAAUCUGAGAGUUUCAUUUAACACCAUGUCCAAGUACUCCAUCUCUACCAGGACAUCAUAGGUCACAGGUCCCAUCCCCUCACCUUAUUGGGCAGAGCUGCAUCAAUUUCAUCCUGCAGUUUCUUCUGGAGAUCAGGGUGUGUGGCCAGCAAAUA
rnacentral:sRNA from 1 species